rnacentral:rRNA from 1 species
AUGCAGUCGAACGGUGAAGAGGAGCUUGCUCCUUGGAUCAGUGGCGAACGGGUGAGUAACACGUGAGCAAUCUGCCCUUGACUCUGGGAUAACUGCGGGAAACUGUAGCUAAUACCGGAUAUUACCUUUGGAGGCAUCUCUGGGGGUGGAAAGAAUUUUGGUCAAGGAUGAGCUCGCGGCCUAUCAGCUAGUUGGUGAGGUAAUGGCUCACCAAGGCGACGACGGGUAGCCGGCCUGAGAGGGUGACCGGCCACACUGGGACUGAGACACGGCCCAGACUCCUACGGGAGGCAGCAGUGGGGAAUAUUGCACAAUGGGCGCAAGCCUGAUGCAGCAACGCCGCGUGAGGGACGACGGCCUUCGGGUUGUAAACCUCUUUUAGUAGGGAAGAAGCGACUGGGUUUUCCUGGAAGUGACGGUACCUGCAGAAAAAGCACCGGCUAACUACGUGCCAGCAGCCGCGGUAAUACGUAGGGUGCAAGCGUUGUCCGGAAUUAUUGGGCGUAAAGAGCUCGUAGGCGGUUUGUCGCGUCUGCUGUGAAAACCCGAGGCUCAACCUCGGGCCUGCAGUGGGUACGGGCAGACUAGAGUGCGGUAGGGGAGAUUGGAAUUCCUGGUGUAGCGGUGGAAUGCGCAGAUAUCAGGAGGAACACCAAUGGCGAAGGCAGAUCUCUGGGCCGUAACUGACGCUGAGGAGCGAAAGCAUGGGGAGCG